rnacentral:rRNA from 1 species
AUUGAACGCUGGCGGCAGGCCUCACACAUGCAAGUCGAGCGGAGCGGCGGACGGGUGAGUAAUGCCUAGGAAUCUGCCUGGUAGUGGGGGAUACCGUCCGGAUACGGGAGCUAAUACCGCAUACUAUCAGAUGAGCCUAGUUCGGAUGGGCUAGUUGGUGGGGUAACGGCCUACCAAGGCGACGAUCCGCAACUGGUCUGAGAGGAUGAUCAGUCACACUGGGACUGAGACACUGUCCAGACUCCUACGGGAGGCAGCAGUGGGGAAUAUUGGGCAAUGGGCGAAAGCCUGAUCCAGCCAUGCCGCGUGUGUGAAGAAGGUCUUGGGAUUGUAAAGCACUUUAGGUUGGGAGGCGUUACCAACAGAAUAAGCACCGGCUAACUUCGUGCCAGCCGCCGCGGUAAUAC